rnacentral:rRNA from 1 species
AGAGUUUGAUCCUGGCUCAGAUUGAACGCUGGCGGCGUGCCUAACACAUGCAAGUCGAGCGGUAACAGGUGUAGCAAUACAUGCUGACGAGCGGCGAACGGGUGAGUAAUGCUUUGGAAUCUUCCCAGUAGUGGGGAAUAACCAGUCGAAAGAUUGGCUAAUACCGCAUACGUCUGAAAAGGGAAAGCGGGGGCUCGUAUAAGACCUCGCGCUAUUGGAUGAGCCAAAGUCGGAUUAGCUAGUUGGUGGGGUAAUGGCCUACCCAGGGCGAACAAUUCCGUAGCUGGUUCUGAGAGGACGACCAGCCACACCGGAACUGAGACACGGUCCGGACUCCUACGGGAGGCAGCAGUGGGGAAUAUUGGACAAUGGGGGAAACCCUGAUCCAGCGACGCCGCGUGUGUGAAGAACGCCUGCGGGUUGUAAAGCACUUUUAGU